CGAUGGAAAAAGAAAAGGGUUUGUUGAACAUUUUCUCGAGAAAGAGAGUUCCAUGAAUCUGUAGUUGCAGUAGAGGGAGAGAGGAAAUGGGUGAUAAUCUAUUCGAAGGACUACCACCCCCCUCUAAUCAACAGCAACAAAAUCAACAAGUAGAAGAGAAUGCUUCAAAUAACAGAGAACCAUCUCCAGUGCCACCACCAGCUCCAACCCCUGUUUUGAAGAGUGCUCUCAAGCGCCCCAAGCCCGUUGAAUUCAUCCCGGACCAUGAAGACACUAUGACUGAAAAGGCCACGGCACCAGAAAAGCGGUUGAGGUUUAAAACCACAACAGAUGCCUCAGUGACGCAACUGAUAGAGGCCAUGCAGAAGAUAGCAUCACACAUCAAGAAUCCAACAAAGUUUUCUAAGGCUUCUAAGCUUGCCAUACAGCUAAUUCAGGCUGGAAGUGUAAAGCCAGGAACUAGUGACCACUUCUUUGCCAUACUUGAGGCUGCAAUGUCAUCAACCACCUCUUGUACUGAUCCUUCGUUGAGGGCAGAUUAUCAUGCCUUGUUCUCAGCGGCACAGGAUGCUGCUGAAUGCCUCACUAAGAACAAAAAGAAUCAAUUAGCUAUAUGGACAAUUAGAGCGGUGGUGGCAAAUGACUUAUUCACUGAUGACAGCUUUGUGUUUUCUAAGGCGGCAGGACGAAUAAA
rnacentral:misc_RNA from 1 species